rnacentral:misc_RNA from 1 species
CAGAAGAAAAUAUGAAGUUGUAUUCACUUGUUUAAACUAUUUCCAAUCCAGAGAAGUAACAUGUGAAACAUACAAUACUCAGCUUACGAUCAUAAGUCCUAUGAUCAUAAGUUUGUUUCAAAGAUAAGACCUGUGGGUUUUUGAUAUUCUAGCAUAAUUUGGUUGAACAAAAAAUUAUCCUACUUUUGAGUAUAUUACAAAGCCAAUUGUGCAUCAUCUAGAUGAAGGCGGCACAAUUUAGCCACAAUACUUUCCAUUUAGCUAAACUAAACUAUAAAUUGAUUUUUAACUUCCACUGAAAGUUUCUGUGUUCUCUGCUUCAUUUCGGCGGCGAUGAUGAGAACCUCUUUCCGAAGAAUUUACGGUUCUUGGGAAUUGGCCUGGUCCCGUCAUCACAUAGGAACCGUACAAUUGAUCUGAUUGAGCAUUCCAUCUUCUCCUCCAUCUCAAGAUCUCAACCAGUAUAGAACUCCCACUCAUUGCUACUCCAAAUCCAGCAAAUGUUGCUAGAAGGAUGCAUAGAACUGCUUGCAAGUCGACCUGCAGAGCAAAAAGGAAUUUCAGGAUGGGAAGUAGUUUCCUUAAUUAGAAAUCAUUUAAAGGAAAAGGAAUUCAAGGACCAUUUCAACUUGAAUUCAAACAAGGUCAGAGCUCAAGACAGAAGAAAAUCCUAAUUCCUGCUAAUAGAGACCAAGUAUUUAAUUUCAACAUAUGAUUAUUUAGUGCACUCGUUUCACAUGCACCCCCACUCACAUUUAUGUAGAGUCCAGUCUCCUUAUUUCAUGGAGGACUCAUAUUUUUGUGAGUGAAGGAGCACUGCACUGGGUGUAUAUUAUAUAUGCUUGUUGCAUGAACCAUGAUCCUUACCAAGGCUCAAAAGAACUGGCACCAAUUGCAUGGUGCUUCGGAGGUAUAGUACCAUAAUAAGUCAUUGAUGCACCUUUUCCUAGAUGCUGUUUAAGUUCUGUAUCUUUUAAUUGUUUCUUUCUAAGCCAAUGUUAAGUACAGAUCUACUUACCAAUGAGUAAAAAAUAUGUGCAAAGAGAACCACCAAAGCAAAUUGAAUUGAUGCAUAAACCCAAACAAAUCUUCUCUUCACUGCAUAGAAAAGCUCAAGUAGUGAGGAGCAUAAAUUUUCUUCAUAACCAAGCAAUUCGAUCAAUAUUUAUUGUCAACCAAAACUUUUGUUUCAUGAGUAAGUACAUCUGUCAAAACUAAUGUGGGCAAGAGUUGAUCUCUACUGUAAAUGCUGAUCUACAAAGCUUAUAGUUAAACAAAUAUUUAACCUAGCAAAUCCAAACUUGUAAUUUUAUACUCCUGUUGUCCACUCCUUGCAUUGUAAUUUGUUGUCGGUGGUUUCCAUGCAUACUAUCCUCACACGGAACUCAACUCAUCUUAUAAUUUUCUUUUGAGAGAACAACUGCCUUACCCAUGGUUGAUGAAAUCAUGGAUGAAAGUAGACCCAGUACACAAGAAAAUGGAAGGGAUAUAGCAAUUGCACUAGUACCCAUAUUUCCAACCUGCAAUAAGAAAGAUAUAUUAGGAAAGAAGUAAAAUGGCGAUUUCAUGAAACUGGAUUUGGUAACUGCUUAUCUUACCAGCAGCUGCUCAAGAAAACAAAAGUAGGCAAGCAUGCUAAUGAUGACAAGCACAGGAACUUCCUGCCAAAUCCUGAUUACAUAAGAACUGGUAAGUCUCAAGCAAACUAGGUUAAAAUAUUAACUUUAGUCUGCGACCAUACUUUGAGUUUACCAUAAAAUUAGUAAGUAGAAAUGGUUAUGACAUCCUCACAGUAGAAAACUGAAAGCUUAAAACAAGUAGGAAGAGAAGUGGAAGGUACAGAACACAGAUAUCCAUUCCUCCCCCCAUCUCUUCUCUCUCUUCUCCCUUCUAAUUCCUAGCCAUCAAAUUGGCAACUUCAUUUCUUAGGCAUAAAGCAGUGCCAAAUUUUUACUUGCCUGUAUCCAUUAGCAUCUGCUUGAUGAGCUCUACUUGCUCCAGAAGUUCGAGCACGUAUACUCUGGAUUCGUAACAGAGUAACAGGCAGAUUCUGAACCUCUUGCUUGCACACAUCACAUGUCUUGUUACCUUUGAUGCUAAACCAUUUUACAGCACAUUCUUGAUGGGCCAGAGCAAGUUCACCUUUGCAGCUACAUUCCAUCUUAAGGGUCUCACCUCCUUCACACAGUUCAACCAGACAAAUUCUACAAACUGCCUCUUCUUCAGGUAUAUCUUCACCAUCAGUGUCAUCAGUUUCUGUAUCAUUCCCUGGAGAAGCAUUUGUUAUUACAUCUCCUUCCUUCAAUCGAGGAGUCGAAGGAAUGACGCGAAAAAAGGAAUCCAUCCUCCUUAUAUUUCUUUCUUUAUUAUUGACAGGGACUGAAAGUGAGCGAGACAUCUGUUGCUGGGCUCCUUUUCCAUUUGAACUGAAUGCACCACCAGUGCUUCCUUCAUGAGUAGAUUCUGGGUUAGAAAUUGCAAUUGAAGUUACAGGCAGUGAUGAUGUUCUCUUCAUCCUGGGGGUGAAAAUCUUUGUAAGUGAUAAUGACCUUGAGAUUGACGGUUUAUCCCUUGGCAUGGUACAGGAAGAAUCUGGAGGUAGAUUGGCUGCCUUCUCAACAUCUAAUGUUAAAAUUCGAGACUUGAAGCUUAGUUUAGGUAAAAGACUCCUUAAGGAUGAUUUUCCUCUAGAUGAGGAGGGGCCUGGGGACCCACAGGCUCUUGCAUCACUAGAACUAUGUGUCAAAAGGAAAUUUACUCUCCUAGGAGUUGGACUAGGUGAUGGGGGAUUCUUUAUUCCAACAGAAUCCUGUAAGGAGUCUUCCAAUGUUCUUGAGGGUAUCUCUAAAAUGAGAUUGCUCUGCUUCCACUGAUGCUCAUGAUUACGUUCUUCAACUAUUCCUGUCAAGCCUUCACCAUUAUCUACAGCACUCACAACAGUUUCUUGGCUUGAUCCCAGAUCAUGCACUUCAUUCACAGGCUGCUCCACAGUUCCCAUUCUAGCAUAGCAAAAACAGCCAAACCCAACACCCCUCAAGCCUCAAAAACCCACCAAAAAAAGGAGGAAAAAAAAAACAAAAGAAGUCGAAACCUUUUAUGGCAAGCUCGACGAAAAUGCAAAAGAGAGAGAAAGAGUUAUGAUGUUUUCUUUAGUGGUUUUUCUUGAGAAGUGUGGGCAGAGAGGAAUAAUAGUGGGAGAUGAGAGGAAGAGGAGGUGAUCGAUAGCACUCAAUUCUUUCAUUUAUGGCAAAAAGAGGUGGGGUCCGUGGGGAGGACUGGCCUACUGCUGCCACUCCUAUCCCUCCCCGGAAGGAACAAGAACCAGUACAGUGCGAGCGGACUCUUGAAUCCACUUUUCUUGAGUCUUGAAAUAUACCCAUCUCCUUCUUUCUCUUCAACGGUGCAUCAUAUCUUUAGAUCUAUUCUCAUAUCAG